UGGGGAAUAUUGCACAAUGUGGGAAACCCUGAUGCAGCAACGCCGCGUGAGUGAUGACGGUCUUCGGAUUGUAAAGCUCUGUCUUCAGGGACGAUAAUGACGGUACCUGAGGAGGAAGCCACGGCUCACUACGUGCCAGCAGCCGCGGUAAUACGUAGGCGGCAAGCGUUGUCCGGUUUUACUGGGCGUAAAGGGAGCGUAGGUGGAUAUUUAAGUGGGAUGUGAAAUACUCGGGCUUAACCUGGGGGCUGCAUUCCAAACUGGAUAUCUAGAGGGCAGGAGAGGAAAGUACAAUUCCUAGUGUAGCGGUGAAAUGCGUAGAGAUUAGGAAGAAUACCAGUGGCGAAGGCGACUUUCUGGACUGUAACUGACACUGAGGCUCGAAAGCGUGGGGAGCAAACA
rnacentral:rRNA from 1 species